rnacentral:misc_RNA from 1 species
GAUCCUUAGCUGGGUCGAAAGAUACAGAGAUAGCUAUGGGUGCCUACCAGCCUCAUUAUGCAUGGACAGAAAAGCAAAGGCGUCCACGGGGACAGAUCUAUGGAUACAGAAUGUCCCUAUGGGCAGAACACCUUGGGAGGAUAGAAGAAUGUUUCAAGGAACCAGAGGCGCUAACAUGCGUGAGGAAGGUGAAUGAGGUUGCUGAAGGAAACUGGAAGAGUUACACAGCUGAAAAGUUCACUCAACUACAUGGACAUCUUCUCAAGUAUCCAAUACAUGUAGGCGCGGACGGGAAAGUAGGUCCAUUAGCUGAAUAUGAAAAUUUCCCAGAUGUAGGAGGUAGAAUUCUGGGAAAUCAUGCCCCUACUAUCCCAGAUGUUUUGACUACAUAGUCAGUCCUCAAUAAUUAACACGAUUGUGAGUGUUUGGACACUCUGAAAAUAUGUAGCUGCAAGAUCCUUAUUAGUCAAUUUUGUACAUUUGUUCUAUGUUGUACAAUAGAGGGUGAAAAAAAGGAUAG